rnacentral:rRNA from 1 species
GACGAACGCUGGCGGCGUGCUUAACACAUGCAAGUCGAACGGUGAAGGGGCCUGCUUUUGUGGGCCCUGGAUGAGUGGCGAACGGGUGAUUAACACGUUAGUAACCUGCUCCCUUCUUCUGGAUAACCGCAUGAAAGUUUGGCUAAUACGUGAUAUUCUGGGUCUGUCGCAUGAUGGGUCUGGGAAAGAUUGCGCCUUUGUGUGUUUUUGGUGGGGGAUGGGCUCGCGGCCUAUCAGCUUGUUGGUGGGGUGAUGGCCUACCAAGGCGGUGACGGGUAGCCGGCCUGAGAGGGUGGACGGUCACACUGGGACUGAGACACGGCCCAGACUCCUACGGGAGGCAGCAGUGGGGAAUAUUGCACAAGGGGCGCAAGCCUGAUGCAGCGACGCCGCGUGAGGGAUGGAGGCCUUCGGGUUGUAAACCUCUUUCGCCAGUGAAGCAGGCAUGCUCCUUGUGGGUGGGUUGACGGUAGCUGGAGAAGAAGCGCCGGCUAACUACGUG